rnacentral:rRNA from 1 species
CCCCUAGAUGUUCUGGGCCGCACGCGCGCUACACUGAACAGUUCAACAAGUCUUAACCUUGGCCGAUAGGUCUGGGUAAUCUUUGAACGCUGUUCGUGAUUGGGAUAGACCUUUGCAAUUAUGGGUCUUCAACGAGGAAUUCCUAGUAAACGCAAGUCAUAAGCUUGCGUUGAUUACGUCCCUGCCCUUUGUACACACCGCCCGUCGCUACUACCGAUUGAACGUUUUAGUGAGGUAUUUGGACUGGACCUUCGGAGGUUCGCGCCUCCGUUGCUGUUCGGGAAGACUCCCAAACUUGAGCGUUUAGAGGAAGUAAAAGUCGUAACA